rnacentral:rRNA from 1 species
GAUGAACGCUGGCGGCGUGCUUAACACAUGCAAGUCGAACGGAAAGGCUCCUGCUUGCAGGGGUACUCGAGUGGCGAACGGGUGAGUAACACGUGGGUGAUCUGCCCUGCACUUCGGGAUAAGCCUGGGAAACUGGGUCUAAUACCGGAUAGGACCACAUUUUGGAUGGUGUGGUGGAAAGUUUUUCGGUGUGGGAUGAGCUCGCGGCCUAUCAGCUUGUUGGUGGGGUAAUGGCCUACCAAGGCGUCGACGGGUAGCCGGCCUGAGAGGGUGUACGGCCACAUUGGGACUGGGAUACGGCCCAGACUCCUACGGGAGGCAGCAGUGGGGAAUAUUGCACAAUGGGCGCAAGCCUGAUGCAGCGACGCCGCGUGGGGGAUGACGGCCUUCGGGUUGUAAACUCCUUUCGCUAGGGACGAAGCGCAAGUGACGGUACCUGGAGAAGAAGCACCGGCUAACUACGUG